rnacentral:ribozyme from 1 species
AGAUUGAAGAAAUUGAUUAAACAGUUGUCAAUUAGCUUGCAGUCUAUAUUCUCUUGAAUCCCUUUUUUUUUUUGAUUUCUUAUAGAUUUUAAUACUCUAACUACGUAAUAUAUAGAAGGGAAGGUAGG